UUAGAGUUUGAUCAUGGCUCAGAACGUACGCUGGCGGCACGCCUAACACAUGCAAGUCGAACGAAGUAGCAAUACUUAGUGGCAGACGGGUGAGUAACAUGUAGGUAUCUGCCCUUUGGCCUGGAAUAACACGAGGAAACUUGUGCUAAUACCGGAUAAGUCUUUACAGAGAAAGCUUUAUGCACCAUUGGAUGAGCCUGCACUUGAUUAGUUUGUUGGUGGGGUAAUGGCCUACCAAGACUGUGAUCAAUAGCUGAUUUGAGAGGAUGAUCAGCCACAUUGGGACUGAGACACGGCCCAAACUCCUACGGGAGGCAGCAGUGGGGAAUCUUGCACAAUGGAGGAAACUCUGAUGCAGCGAUGCCGCGUGAGUGAAGAAGGCCCUUGGGUUGUAAAGCUCUUUCGUCGGGGAAGAAAAUGACUGUACCCGAAUAAGAAGGUCCGGCUAACUUCGUGCCAGCAGCCGCGGUAAUACGAAGGGACCUAGCGUAGUUCGGAAUUACUGGGCUUAAAGAGUUCGUAGGUGGUUGAAAAAGUUGGUGGUGAAAUCCCAGAGCUUAACUCCGGAACUGCCAUCAAAACUUUUCAGCUAGAGUAUGAUAGAGGAAAGCAGAAUUUCUAGUGUAGAGGUGAAAUUCGUAGAUAUUAGAAAGAAUACCAAUUGCGAAGGCAGCUUUCUGGAUCAUUACUGACACUGAGGAACGAAAGCAUGGGUAGCGAAGAGGAUUAGAUACCCUCGUAGUCCAUGCCGUAAACGAUGUGUGUUAGACGUUGGAAAUUUAUUUUCAGUGUCGCAGCGAAAGCGAUAAACACACCGCCUGGGGAGUACGACCGCAAGGUUAAAACUCAAAUGAAUUGACGGGGACCCGCACAAGUAGUGGAGCAUGUGGUUUAAUUCGAAGAUACGCGCAGAACCUUACCAACACUUGACAUGUUCGUCGCGACUCUAAGAGAUUAGAGUUUUCGGUUCGGCCGGACGAAACACAGGUGCUGCAUGGCUGUCGUCAGCUCGUGUCGUGAGAUGUUGGGUUAAGUCCCGCAACGAGCGCAACCCUCACUUUUAGUUGCCAUCAUUUAGUUGGGCACUCUGAAAGAACUGCCAGUGAUAAGCUGGAGGAAGGUGGGGAUGACGUCAAGUCCUCAUGGCCCUUACGUGUUGGGCUACACACGUGCUACAAUGGUAUCUACAACAGGAAGCGAAACAGCGAUGUUAAGCAAAUCCUUAAAAGAUACCUCAGUUCGGAUUGCACUCUGCAACUCGAGUGCAUGAAGCUGGAAUUACUAGUAAUCGUGGAUCAGCGUGCCACGGUGAAUGCGUUCCCG
rnacentral:rRNA from 1 species